AUUGGAUUUUGGUUGGAUUAUACAAGCUGCUCGAGAUCCACAAAAUUCGUUGAGAAGCGGCCACCCGCAUCUGAAAUUCGUUGAGGAACACCACGGGUAGAGAUCUGGAAAAUUCGUGCUCUCCGAAUCUCCAAACAUAUUAUAUUUUCAUCAGGAUCGCUGCCACCAUAAGGAACUUUUUUCCGACAGUCUCGUGGUUCAUACAAACCUCGAUUGGGCUGCCAUUUAUAGUGGGAUAAAAGGUCCUCCAAAUUAUGCUAGCUGAAUAACUUCUGUCAACAGCAUACAAUUGGUGCUCUAAGCACAUGCUUUGUAUUCUUCUUGCAGGUUAAUAUUACAAGUGCAUUAGAAAAAGAAGUAUUCUGCGUUGAUUUUUGUACCAUUGCUCCGGGUUGUGUUACAAAAUGUAUGAAUGUAUUCGCUCAAUACACAAUCUUGGCCAUGAGUCACAAGAAGGUUCUUCAUGUCUGCAUUCUUGCUCAGCUAUGUGCAAUUACCAACUACUGAGCAUAUCUUUUGAGACUGCAGAGAAGUCUGUCUUCAGUUCUUUACCAAGGAAUGCAGAGAAGUCAGUCUUCUGUUCUUUACCAAGGAAUGGGAAGAAGACAUUUUCAUAUAAUACUACUGCCAACCACAUUGGAUCUAUGGUCAGUCCAUUGUAUGUUAUAGUAUACUGAUGUUAUCUUCAGCCAUUUCUUCAUUGUUGGAAUAAUGAAUCUGUUUAAUUUACUUAUCGUCUUACAUGAGACAGCUUUUAGGGCGGUGCAUACAUCCAGCGAGUGUUCAAAUGCAUAAG